rnacentral:misc_RNA from 1 species
UUAAGUUCAGCGGGUAUCCCUACCUGAUCCGAAGUCAAAAGAUUUGGUUUUGCCGCACGGCCCCGUGGAGGGUCUGCGGUUUUGUUGCGGCCAGACACCAGUCAGACAGGCAAUUGUAAGAAAAUCUUAUCACAAUCACAGCCAUGAAGGGUCUGCCGAUGGAUUUCGGCGGUGGGCGCACGAGUGCAACCCAUCUGCCA